rnacentral:rRNA from 1 species
CCCUUAGAUGUUCUGGGCCGCACGCGCGCUACACUGACGAAGUCAGCGAGCAUGUCCUACGCCGACAGGUGCGGGGAAUCUUGUCAAACUUCGUCGUGAUGGGGAUUGAUUAUUGAAAUUCUUGAUCAUCAACGAGGAAUUCCUAGUAAGCGCAAGUCAGCAGCUUGCGUUGAUUACGUCCCUGCCCUUUGUACACACCGCCCGUCGCUACUACCGAUUGAAUGGUUCAGUGAGAUAAUCGGACAGAAAACUUGGCAACUGGCAACAGUUGACGUGCAUUUUUGGAAGACGAUCAAACUUGGUCAUUUAGAGGAAGUAAAAGUCGUAACA